rnacentral:rRNA from 1 species
AUGGAGGCCACUCAAGCUUCCCUUGAGGCCUUUGGGAGGAUCUCGGGGCUCUUCACCAACUUCAGCAAAUCAUCGGCCUUCCCUAUCUGCUGCCAUGAUCGGAUAAUCAUUGGAGCGCUUACGGAGUUUGCAGGAACGAUUGAUUCCUUCCCUUGCAAGUAUCUCGGACUCCCUCUCAGUCUUGGCAAGCUCAGGCGCGCUGACCUUCAACUAUUAAUUGACAAAAUCGCUGCCAAGUUGGCAGGAUGGAAAGGCAAACUGUUGAGCAAAGCGGGAAGGCUGACGCUGAUCAACUCUGUCCUAACCUCUCUCACCACCUAUAUUUUAACCUUGUUUGCCCCCGGUAAGUGGCUGAUUAAGAGGAUUGACAAACUGAGGAGAAGCUUCCUUUGGAAAGGCUGUGAGGAAGAAGCGAAAGGUGGAAGCUGUGCAGUAAACUGGCAGGUUGUUUGUUCACCAAUGAAGUAUGGUGGUCUGGGAAUAAAAAAUCUUUCCUUCUUCAGUAGGGCUCUUCGGCUGCGCUGGGCAUGGUUCGCGUGGCAAAGUCUGCCUCGGCCAUGGCUUGGCAUGAAGCUCCCAUGCUCGUACAUUGACAUGAAGCUCUUCAAUGCCUCGACCAUCAUCCACCUUGGCAAUGGGCAAACUGCAAGCUUCUGGCACUCUAAGUGGCUGUACGGCGCCGCCCCCAAGGACCUUGCACCCUCCCUGUUCAAACUGGCCCGUAGGAAAUCCAACACAGUCGCCCAGGCUCUUCAAGGCAGCAAGUGGAUGAAAGGACUUGAGAGAACCAGCUGA